rnacentral:lncRNA from 1 species
UCACGAUAGUUGGGCUGGUAGGCCGUUUGUCUCUCUCAGAGUAAUUUUCUCCCUCGCAUUCAUUUUGCCCAUUUCCCAUUCCUCUUCGGCCUCCUCUAGGGGCUCUGGAGAACGAGAAGGGAGAGAGACGCCAUUGGAGUAAGUUUUUUGCCCUGUUCUUAUUUUUUUCUUCCUCUUUGUUUUUGUCCAGUUAUUGUUUCUUGCUCAUAGAUUGAGCACCAUCCCCUCUUCUUUGUUUGUGCAUUCAUCAAUCUAGGGUUUGUCCCGCAAUCGACCCAAAUGUGGGUAGGGUUCCUCACAGAUUAGUACCGUCCCUAUUUUGUUGUGUAUCCAUCUAUCUAGGAUUUGUUCAUCAAUAUAUCCAAAUGUUGGGAGGGGGGGUUCCAGUCGGUCAAGAUUCAGCGGGUCACUGGGUAGUGCGCAGAGAUUCAGUCUAUGCCCUUUUUUCAGUUCAGGUGAUUUAGUGUCAAGGUUGAUUUUAGAUUUUAGUCUAGAUCCAUGUUGUUCCAUUUUUUCAUGUAAGUAUAAUGUUUGUUAAGGAUUGUCCAGUAUCAUAACUUUAUACAUGUGUUCUUUUUUCUGAUUUGCCUUAGUGAACAUUCGGAUCACUUGCGUCGGGAUAAAAUCAACUUUGCUAACAGUCUACAACAACUUUCCUUUUUUAAAAGAUAAGAGCCGAACAUAAACAAAGAAGCACCGCACAAACGAAUCAACUUAUACAUACCUCAUUUUAUUUGUUUUUUCAUGUACCUAGGGUUUGUUCCCAAUCGACUCGAAUGUAGGGAGCAAGGGGAUUUUAAGUAGUCAAGAUUCAAUGGGUGGCCGGAUAGCUUGUGUGUGUAGGUAAUUCAGUGGAUUCAUAGGAUUUUUAUUUUCAGCAGGAGUAGAUUUUCAUUUAGUGUUUUUGCUAGAUUCAGUGGGGGUUGGUUCAUUUUUUAGUUUUUCUAGUUCAUGUUUUUUGUCUGGUAGGUAGGAAAUGAGGUUUAACCCUCGAGUUUGGUUUGAUUACGUGUAGGGUUUGAUAGAUAAGUAAUUUUUUAUCAGAGCUAGUUUCAAUUUGUAUCAAUCAAGGUUCAUUUUAUUUCAUUCUAGAUCUAUGUUUUGUCACAUUUUUUUCAUGUCAGUAUAUCUCUGUUAAUGUUUGCCUAGUAAAUCAUAGCUUAUGCAUUGUGCUUCUUGAUUUAUUUGUAUAUUUAUUGAUUUAACGACCAUUCAGAUGAGAUAUGUUAGGUUAUGGGUGAGGACUAAUGUCGUGCGAUGUUUUUUGUUUGUACCUUGCAUUAGCCUCUAAUUUUUUAUUUUGCUCAAUGAUAGCAACUAGUAUCAUGUUUUGAAUACUAUAUUUUUAUGAGUGCGCGAUCAAUGUAGUUUGUGUAUGCUUUUUUAUGGGCUAAACCAUAGGUACUAUAUGUGUCGUUGCCUGAACUAUGUAUGUUGCCAUAUGCAAAGUAUGACUACAAAAUGACAUACUAUGCAGUUUACUAGUUUGCAUGUCUCAUGUACCAGUUACUAGUUAUAUAUCAUUUUAUUUGUCCAGAUUCUUAUUUUUGGUUUUUGGACAAAGAUGGUGUGUACAGUAGGACCCCGAUAAGGUUUGUUUGAACAUUUGUAUCCACACAUCUCAAGGUAGGAAGCAGUAUUCUUAAUGCUAUGUGACCCCCAUGUCUAAUUUUAUUUAUUCAUUAUUGUUCAGAAAAUGAUGAACUACCUUGUUUGGGAUUAUGAACAUUUGUUCUUUUUCUUUUUUGCAGCUUUAUGAGCUGGUGAGAAUGUGUUAUUUUUUUACUAUAAAUGGCUCAGCUUCUAAACUUUUUUCUUUACCCAUGCAGAAUGGUGUGCCCUAUUUGCCAUUCGCAUUGUGAGAGUGACAACGAGCAGAGAUUUGGCAUUGUCAUUCGCGAGGGCUCCAAAGCAGCAACAGUAAUUCCUUGUUUUAUUGAUUUUUCUUUCCUCACAAAUGUUUUUCAUCCUUUUUAUAUGUGUAAGAUUUUUUGCUAAUUGUUUGAUGCUUUUUCUUUUUCUUUUUUGUAUUUGUUGUUAACAGAACAUCCCACGCACUAAAGGAACCAGUUUCACAAGAUGCCAGGCCCGAACUGGCAUAUAUGUGUUUCCUUGGAAGUAGGCUUGCAACAGAUCUUGGUUCGAUAGGAUAGGACAUGGCUAGAGUUGGGGGUGAAGAAGAUGAAGGAAGUAUGCCCUAGAUGCAAUAAUAAAGUUGUUAUUUAUAUUUCCUUAUAUCAUGAUAAAUGUUUAUUAUUCAUGCUAGAAUUGUAUUAACGGGAAACUUGAUACAUGUGUGAAUACAUAGACAAAAUAAAGUGUCCCUAGUAUGCCUCUACUUGACUAGCUCGUUAAUCAAAGAUGGUUAAGUUUCCUGACCAUAGACAUGUGUUGCCAUU